UACGUAGGGUGCAAGCGUUAGUCCGGAAUUAUUGGGCGUAAAGAGCUUGUAGGCGGUUUUGUCGCGUCUGCUCGGUGAAAUUUCGGGGCGUCAACCCCGAACUUGCAGUGGGUACGGGCAGACUAGAGUGUGGUAGGGGGAGACGUGGAAUUCCUGGUGUAGCGGUGAAAUGCGCAGAUAUCAGGAGGAACGACCGGCUGGCGAAGGCGGGUCUCUCGGGCCGGAUACUGACGCUGAGGACGAAAGCGUGGGGAGCGAACAGG
rnacentral:rRNA from 1 species